rnacentral:rRNA from 1 species
AUUGAACGCUGGCGGCAGGCUUAACACAUGCAAGUCGAGCGGAGUGAUGGUGCUUGCACUAUCACUUAGCGGCGGACGGGUGAGUAAUGCUUAGGAAUCUGCCUAUUAGUGGGGGACAACAUCUCGAAAGGGAUGCUAAUACCGCAUACGUCCUACGGGAGAAAGCAGGGGAUCACUUGUGACCUUGCGCUAAUAGAUGAGCCUAAGUCGGAUUAGCUAGUUGGUGGGGUAAAGGCCUACCAAGGCGACGAUCUGUAGCGGGUCUGAGAGGAUGAUCCACCACGCUGGGACUGAGACACGGACCAGACUCCUACGGGGGGCAGCAGUGGGGAAUAUUGGACAAUGGGGGGAACCCUGAUCCAGCCAUGCCGCGUGUGUGAAGAAGGCCUUAUGGUUGUAAAGCACUUUAAGCGAGGAGGAGGCUCUUUUGGUUAAUACCCAAGAUGAGUGGACGUUACUCGCAGAAUAAGCACCGGCUAACUCUGUGCCAACAGCCGCCGCAG